GAUGAACGCUGGCGGCGUGCCUAAUACAUGCAAGUCGAGCGAACAGACGAGGAGCUUGCUCCUCUGACGUUAGCGGCGGACGGGUGAGUAACACGUGGAUAACCUACCUAUAAGACUGGGAUAACUUCGGGAAACCGGAGCUAAUACCGGAUAAUAUAUUGAACCGCAUGGUUCAAUAGUGAAAGACGGUUUUGCUGUCACUUAUAGAUGGAUCCGCGCCGCAUUAGCUAGUUGGUAAGGUAACGGCUUACCAAGGCGACGAUGCGUAGCCGACCUGAGAGGGUGAUCGGCCACACUGGAACUGAGACACGGUCCGGACUCCUACGGGAGGCAGCAGUAGGGAAUCUUCCGCAAUGGGCGAAAGCCUGACGGAGCAACGCCGCGUGAGUGAUGAAGGUCUUCGGAUCGUAAAACUCUGUUAUUAGGGAAGAACAAAUGUGUAAGUAACUAUGCACGUCUUGACGGUACCUAAUCAGAAAGCAACGGCUAACUACGUG
rnacentral:rRNA from 1 species